CUUGGAUCAAGAUAAGAGCACAGACCAUUAGCACCUCAUUCUAGAAUCUGUCAUCCUUCCAGAACACUGGUACAGAGGAAAGUUGCUAUGGAGACCACAACAAUAGCAGGACCUCUGUAAAUGGGUCCCACUGGCUCUUUACUCAUACAUCUUGGAGAUGCGAUUGGAUGGAAUAAGGAGACAAUCUGAGAGUUAUGGAUUUAUUUUUAAGAGAUCUUGUUCCUUACAGAGACACCUUAAAUUAAGAACAGAACUGAGUUUACUAUAUUGAGUUAAAUGUCGCUUUUGCCAUUAACUAGAAAGGUAUCACUUAUGAUUAUCUUAGACAUCCUUUAAAAAUACAAGAUCCAAACCCUGAGAGAGACUGAUGUGUCAAGACACAAUGACAUUAGCUCAUAUUCAAGGAAUGUCAUGCAGCUGACUCAGCCACAAAUCAUGAUUUAUGAUGAUGACGACAACAACAACAAUGACGAUGACAAGAGCUCUCGUGUCAAUUGUAAAACCUCAGCCCAUUUAUGAUGAACAAGAUCAACAAGUCUUUGGUCUACACUUUGAUGUUAUCUGAAGACCAUCUGAUGUCCUGGGUUCAGUAAAU
ensembl:lincRNA uncharacterized LOC102015041